rnacentral:rRNA from 1 species
GACGAACGCUGGCGGCGUGCCUAAUACAUGCAAGUCGAGCGGACUUUCAAGAAGCUUGCUUUUUGAAAGUUAGCGGCGGACGGGUGAGUAACACGUGGGCAACCUGCCUGCAAGACGGGGAUAACUCCGGGAAACCGGGGCUAAUACCGGAUAAUAUCUUCCUUCGCAUGAAGGAAGGUUGAAAGGCGGCGCAAGCUGCCGCUUGCAGAUGGGCCCGCGGCGCAUUAGCUAGUUGGUGAGGUAACGGCUCACCAAGGCGGCGAUGCGUAGCCGACCUGAGAGGGUGAGCGGCCACACUGGGACGGAGACACGGCCCAGACUCCUACGGGAGGCAGCAGUAGGGAAUCUUCCGCAAUGGACGAAAGUCUGACGGAGCAACGCCGAGUGAGCGAAGAAGGUCUUCGGAUCGUAAAGCUCUGUUGUCAGGGAAGAACAAGUACCGUUCGAACAGGGCGGUACCUUGACGGUACCUGACCAGAAAGCCACGGCUAACUACGUG